rnacentral:rRNA from 1 species
AGUGAACGCUGGCGGUAGGCCUAACACAUGCAAGUCGAACGGCAGCACAGUAAGAGCUUGCUCUUACGGGUGGCGAGUGGCGGACGGGUGAGGAAUACAUCGGAAUCUACUUUUUCGUGGGGGAUAACGUAGGGAAACUUACGCUAAUACCGCAUACGACCUACGGGUGAAAGCAGGGGAUCUUCGGACCUUGCGCGAUUGAAUGAGCCGAUGUCGGAUUAGCUAGUUGGCGGGGUAAAGGCCCACCAAGGCGACGAUCCGUAGCUGGUCUGAGAGGAUGAUCACCCACACUGGAGCUGAGACACGGUCCAGACUCCUACGGGAGGCAGCAGUGGGGAAUAUUGGACAAUGGGCGCAAGCCUGAUCCAGCCGUACCGCGUGGGUGAAGGAGGCCUUCGGGUUGUAAAGCCCUUUUGUUGGGAGAGAAAAGCAGCAGGUUAAUACCCCGCUGUUCUGACGGUACCCAAAGAAUAAGCACCGGCUAACUUCGUG